rnacentral:rRNA from 1 species
CUUGAACUUCGGUUUGGGUGGCGGACGGGUGAGUAACGCGUAAAGAACUUGCCUCACAGUUAGGGACAACAUUUGGAAACGAAUGCUAAUACCUGAUAUUAUGAUUUUAGGGCAUCCUAAGAUUAUGAAAGCUAUAUGCGCUGUGAGAGAGCUUUGCGUCCCAUUAGCUAGUUGGAGAGGUAACGGCUCACCAAGGCGAUGAUGGGUAGCCGGCCUGAGAGGGUGAACGGCCACAAGGGGACUGAGACACGGCCCUUACUCCUACGGGAGGCAGCAGUGGGGAAUAUUGGACAAUGGACCAAAAGUCUGAUCCAGCAAUUCUGUGUGCACGAUGACGUUUUUCGGAAUGUAAAGUGCUUUCAGUUGGGAAGAAAAAAAUGACGGUACCAACAGAAGAAGUGACGGCUAAAUACGUGCCAGCAGCCGCGGUAAUACGUAUGUCACAAGCGUUAUCCGGAUUUAUUGGGCGUAAAGCGCGUCUAGGUGGUUAUGUAAGUCUGAUGUGAAAAUGCAGGGCUCAGCUCUGUAUUGCGUUGGAAACUGCAUGACUAGAGUACUGGAGAGGUAAGCGGAACUACAAGUGUAGAGGUGAAAUUCGUAGAUAUUUGUAGGAAUGCCGAUGAGGAAGCCAGCUUACUGGACAGAUACUGACGCUAAAGCGCGAAAGCGUGGGUAGCAAACAGGAUUAGAUACCCUGGUAGUCCACGCCGUAAACGAUGAUUACUA